AAAUUGAAGAGUUUGAUCAUGGCUCAGAUUGAACGCUGGCGGCAGGCUUAACACAUGCAAGUCGAACGGUAGCAGGAAGAAGCUUGCUUUCUUUGCUGACGAGUGGCGGACGGGUGAGUAAUGCUUGGGAAUCUGGCUUAUGGAGGGGGAUAACGA
rnacentral:rRNA from 1 species